AGAUGGUGCUUUCAGCUGAUUAACAGGAGACCAGGCCCAGGGGUACCAGGCAGACAGAGAACAUGGAGAUCGGAGACGGGGUUUUGCCAUCUUGCCCAGGCUGGUCUUGAAUUCCUGAGCUCCAGUGAUCAUCCCUCCUUGGCCUUCCAAAGUGUUGGGAUUACAGGAUUCAUGACUACAACCCCAAAAUACGGCACUUCUGCCUGUGUGGAAACAACAGAAGCAGGAAGAUUACUCUCAUUUUUCUCUGGCCUUUUUCCCUUGAAGCAGACUAUAAAGAAGAAUCUGACCUUCCUCUGAAGGAAACCUUCAUUCCAGACAUACCCUCCCUAUAUCCAAAGAACAUCUUUAUCUUUAAAGACACAGAGAUGUCAAGAAGAAUCUGAACAAACAGGCUUUGCCAGAUCCCCCAGUUUACUAAUAUUGAACCAUACUCUUUUGUUCUUCAAUCAUACUUCUGCAUGAUGUCCAUAAAAAUACACAGUUUUCCCCAUUCCUUUUGGGUAUUUAUUCCCGAAAGCUUCUGUGUCAUGUAAAACUUACAUUAAAUAAAUUUGUAUGCUUUUCCUUGU
rnacentral:lncRNA from 1 species